GAUGAACGCUGGCGGCGUGCCUAAUACAUGCAAGUCGAGCGAACAGACGAGGCGCUCGCCCCUCUGACGUUAGCGGCGGACGGGUGAGUAACACGUGGAUACCCUAUCUAUUAGACUGGGAUAACUUCCGGAAACCGGAGCUAAUACCGGAUAAUAUAUUGAACCGCAUGGUUCAAUAGUGAAUGUCGGUUUUGCUGCUACUUACAGAUCGAUCCGCACCGCAUUAACUAGUUUGUAGGGUAAAGGCUUAACAAGGCAACGCUGCCAAGCCGACCUGGGAGGGUGAUCGGCCACACUAGAACUGAGACACGGUCGAAACUCCUACAGGAGGCAGCAGUAGGGAAUCUUCCGCGAUGGGCGAAAGCCUGACGGAGCAACGCCGCGUAAGUGAUGGAGGUCUUCGGAUCGUAAAACUCUGUUAUUAGGGAAGAGCAAAUGGGUAAGUAACUAUGCACGUCUAGACGGUACCUAAGCAGAAAGCCACGGCUAGGUACGUG
rnacentral:rRNA from 1 species